GACGAACGCUGGCGGCGUGCUUAACACAUGCAAGUCGAACGGUAAGGCCCUUCGGGGUACACGAGUGGCGAACGGGUGAGUAACACGUGGGUGAUCUGCCCUGCACUUCGGGAUAAGCCUGGGAAACUGGGUCUAAUACCGGAUAGGACCACUGCCUGCAUGGGUGGUGGUGGAAAGCUUUUGCGGUGUGGGAUGGGCCCGCGGCCUAUCAGCUUGUUGGUGGGGUGAUGGCCGACCAAGGCGACGACGGGUAGCCGGCCUGAGAGGGUGACCGGCCAGACUGGGACUGAGAUUCGGCCCAGACUCCUACGGGAGGCAGCAGUGGGGAAUAUUGCGCAAUGGGCGCAAGCCUGAUGCGGCGACGCCGCGUGAGGGAUGACGGACUUCGGGUUGUAAACCUCUUUCAGCACCGACGAAGCGCAAGUGACGGUAGGUGCAGAAGAAGGACCGGCCAACUACGUGCAAGCAGCCGCCGUAA
rnacentral:rRNA from 1 species